GUGGCACACUGUUAGAGCCUGGCACUAACGUUGGUGUUAAGGUGUAGGUCGUGUGCUAAAGUGAACAAGCUGGGUUUUCGCUAACACCAUGAGGGCUUUUGGCCCAGUGACUGGGGUUUGAUAGUGACCUGAGCUACAUGU